AGAGUUUGAUCAUGGCUCAGAUUGAACGCUGGCGGCAUGCCUUACACAUGCAAGUCGAACGGCAGCGCGGGCAACCUGGCGGCGAGUGGCGAACGGGUGAGUAAUAUAUCGGAACGUGCCCUGGAGUGGGGGAUAACGUAGCGAAAGUUACGCUAAUACCACAUACGAUCCAAGGAUGAAAGCAAUACCGUGGGUAUUGCGCUCCUGGAUGGGCUCAUGUCCUAUCAGCUUGUUGGUGAGGUAACGGCUCACCAAGGCUUCGACGGGUAGCUGGUCUGAGAGGACGAUCAGCCACACUGGCACUGCGACACGGGCCAGACUCCUACGGGAGGCAGCAGUAAGGAAUAUUGCGCAAUGGACGAAAGUCUGACGCAGCGACGCCGCGUGGGGGAUGAAGGUCUUCGGAUUGUAAACCCCUUUCGGGAGGGAAGAUGGAGUGGGUAACCACUUGGACGGUACCUCCAGAAGCAGCCACGGCUAACUUCGUG
rnacentral:rRNA from 1 species